rnacentral:piRNA from 1 species
UGCCCAUUGAAGAUGAGGAGUCCAUGAA